CCCCAUGGAGCUUCAAACCCAACUACACCCCUANNUCUUAUAGCCCCACAACCCCCCUAGGCACCGUGUGCUUGGUUUUAGGUUGGGGCGACCGCGGAGUACAAUAAAACCUCCACAAUGAAUGGGAACACCCCCUUAUCUGAGGGCCACACCCCCUAAGAAUUAGAACACUAACAUAAAAUGAUCCAUUACUUGAUCAAUGAACCAAGUUACCCUGGGGAUAACAGCGCAAUCCAUUUCAAGAGCCCCUAUCGACAAAUGGGUUUACGACCUCGAUGUUGGAUCAGGGUACCCCAGUGGUGCAGCAGCUACUAACGGUUCGUUUGUUCAACGAUUAAAACCCU
rnacentral:rRNA from 1 species